UAUCAUCUGUUGCCAGCAUUUAAGGUGGGGACGUCAGAUGAGACUGCCGGUGACAAACCGGAGGAAGGUGGGGACGACGUCAAGUCAUCAUGGCCCUUAUGUCCUGGGCUACACACGUGCUACAAUGGCCGGUACAGAGUGAAGCGAAACCGCGAGGUGAAGCAAAACGCAGAAAGCCGGUCUCAGUACGGAUUGGAGUCUGAAACUCGACUUCAUGAAGUUGGAAUCGCUAGUAAUCGCGCAUCAGCAUGGCGCGGUGAAUACGUUCCCGGGCCUU
rnacentral:rRNA from 1 species